CCACAAAGUAAAACAGAUGUUGUGUCCAAAAGUGUCAGCUGUAACUGGGACUGCUGCUGCACCACAACAAUCCUGCGUGUCGUGUCCACAGACAUGACGUCUCUCAGGUUUGUGUUUUAAGAUCCAAUCAAAUAAGAUGAUGCUUCAUUUGAACAAACAGUUGUGAACAAAAAUCCUUCCCAACAUACACAAACUAUUCUGAGAUGUUUCUUGAAUUCAGGACUUCUUACACAUUUUUCUCCAAAUGUCUCAAGUUUCAGACUUUUUAACUGUGUGAGUAUCACCGACUCUCUGACUCUGUCUACAUCGUUAAUGUGACUUCUGCUUGUGUGACGUGUCACACGGCUCCCUUAAAUCCUUUUGGUUAUAAAGUGUGUUAACCACAGGAGGAGGAGUGACUGAGAGCAGAGAGGAGGAGCAGAGAUUCAGGGAGGAGCUGAGCUGUUACUGAACUAUAGAAGAGAGAAAAACCUCCACAUUCAACAGAGUUCAACACAAAACAAACUUUAUGUUCCUCAACAUGCUGUCAUUACAUCACUGUGUGUUUCCUUACUGGCUUCUCUUCCUGUUAACAGGUGUGAUCUGUGAGGAGCUCACAGCACUCGACACUCAGAAAUCCAGUUUAGAACAAAGCACUGUGACUCUGUCCUAUAAAUACUCCAGACAAGCAGCUCCUGGUGAUUAUUUCUUCUGGUAUCGACAAUAUCCUGGAAAAUCUCCAGAGUUCCUGAUCUCUCACUCAGACAAAGGACAGCUGACAUCAGAUCCAGUCAUUAGACUGUCUGUGAAAGUGAACGCUGAUCAAACACUGAUGACUCUUCAGAUCUCCUCUGCUGCAGUGACAGACUCUGCUGUGUACUACUGUGCUGUGAGGCCCACAGUGACAGGAAACACCAAAACUCUGUACAAAAACCUUUGGAGCAAAGACAACAGAAUACUCCACAACAUC